rnacentral:tRNA from 1 species
GGAUGUGGCUCAAGCGGUAGCAUGCUCGCCUGGCAUGCGAGCGACCCGGGAUCAAUCCUCAGCACCA